rnacentral:rRNA from 1 species
CAGUUCACGAUUGCAGGCUGCAACUCGCCUGCAUGAAGUCGGAAUUGCUAGUAAUCGCAGAUCAGCAUGCUGCGGUGAAUACGUUCCCGGGCCUUGUACACACCGCCCGUCACACCAUGGGAGUCGGUAACACCCGAAGUCGGUAGCCUAACCGUAAGGAGGGCGCCGCCGAAGGUGGGAUUGAUGACUGGGGUGAAGUCGUAACAAGGUAAC